AGAAAUGCUAGGUUUACAACAUUAUUUUACAACAUUGGUUACAACAUUCCAAAAACGGUGGCGUUUUGAAAAAAAAAAUCAAACCCAAAAACACAUCCCCUCCUUCCCCGUUUCUCUCUCCUCCUUCCUGUCCCCAACUCUCUCUCUCUCCGGCUCCUCUCUCCCCUUCCCACUCUCUAUCCCCUCCGUCGUCCUACGUCUCCAAUCCACCAGACCCGCCAGAGCCCGACUUUCUUCGAGAUGAUGUCGGAGGAGCAGACCCGCAAGUCGAAACAGUCGGUCGAGGCCCGGAUCAAGCUCAACAAGAGUCUCUAGGGUUCUGAAAACGGUGCCGUUUUGGGAUCUGGGUGGAGAUUGUGGUGUCGAUGUGGAGGGGUAUGUGGAGACUCUGGUAGAUUUAAUUGUGUUUUUGUUGGACUUGUUUACUCCGGUGACGAUGCCGAUUAUGGCGGCGAUGAGGAGACCCGGAGGCGGGAGGCGAAGAGGGCUAAGAAGAGCUUCUUCUUAGAGAGGGAAAUGCAGUUGCUAUAAAGUACUUUGAUUCUUGAAUUUUUGGAUAUUUGGUUUGUAAUUAUCAGAUGGUGUUUUGCAAUUUUUGCUAAUGAAUUAACAUACUAUUGCUCUGAUUCUUGCAUUUGUGAAUCUCUGAUUUGGAAUUCUUAGCUGGUUGUCUCUUGUUUGCUCAAUCUUGAAUCAAAACUGAAAUUGAAUAUGUGAUAGCAUUAUUGUGGAAGGGGAGGAAGGAGGAGAGAGAGAGGGAGAGUUGGGGACAGGAAGGAGGAGAGAGAAACGGGGAAGGAGGGGAUGUGUUUUUGGGUUUGAAUUUUUUUUUCAAAACGCCACCGUUUUUGGAAUGUUGUAACCAAUGUUGUAAAAUAAUGUUGUAAA
rnacentral:lncRNA from 1 species